UUUUGGCAAUGGUUGAUCAUUACGCAUCAAAAAUGGGUGGAACAAACUAUCUUGCUGCGGUUGCUGCGGUUGCUGCGGUUGCUGCGGUUGCUGCGGUUGCUGCGGUUGCUGCGGUUGCUGCGGUUGCUGCGGUUGCUGCGGUUGCUGCGGUUGCUGCGGUUGCUGCGGUUGCUGCGGUUGCUGCGGUUGCUGCGCAAAAAUAUGCUGAUUUUUCGAUACGUAAGAAUCAAGAACAAUUGCUGUAUUUU
rnacentral:sRNA from 1 species